rnacentral:rRNA from 1 species
GACCCGUCUUGAAMCAMGGACCAAGGAGUCUAGCAUGUGUGCGAGUCAUUGAGAUUACAUUUAAACUGAAAGGCGCAACGAAAGUGAAGGCGCGCGCUCGUCGCGCGCUCAGGGAGGAUGGAAUGGGGUUUCACUCUGUUCUCGCACUCCCGAGGCGUCUCGUUUCCAAUCAGUGAAUGCAGGCGCGCUCUGAGCACAGAUGCUGGGACCCGAAAGAUGGUGAACUAUGCCUGGUCAGGUCGAAGUCAGGGGAAACCCUGAUGGAGGACCGUAGCGAUUCUGACGUGCAAAUCGAUCGUCGGAACUGGGUAUAGGGGCGAAAGACUAAUCGAACCAUCUAGUAGCUGG